GUCUUCUCGGGGGACGUGCUGGCUGGGAGUAAAUGGUAAUGUCACUGUAGUCCCUGAUAGUGAUUUCACGUAGAACCAAGAAAGUUAUGGUGCCCGUAUUUUCUGGAGCAGAAUGGUUGAUGCGUGGCGUAGAGUGACUAUGGAAAAAUCUAAGACAGAACCCAUGGCAGAUGUCCCCUCUCCAUGAGGCUUUCCUGGCUCACCCGGUGGAAUUAGUGCCCCCAGCAGAGGCUCACACCCUGGAUGUGAUUCUUCUCCCCACUUAGCUUGGCGGGAGUUACCAGUCCACUCCUACACGAUGCUGACCCGCCUUGUCUGGCCUGUGAACAUCCCAAGGAAGGGGACCAUGUCACGAAGAUCCCGCAUCCUGCACAGCCCUUAGUGCCACGUGCAUAAUGCUGACUAUUG